rnacentral:misc_RNA from 1 species
CAAUGCAUUCAGCAUGAAACCUGUGUAUUUAUUUAUGGUCGUUUGUCUACAGCUGAUUGCGACCAGAAUUGUAGACAGUAAUAACCUGGAUGUAAGUGAUAUCAGACUAGCUGAUGGCAGUGGACCUUUCGGCGGGCGUGUAGAGAUUCAGAUAGAUGGAGUCUGGGGCACUGUGUGUGACAGGGACUUCCACAUUAAUGAUGCCACAGUGAUGUGCAGAAUGAUGGAUCUUCUUCCUACUGCAUACUUUAGUGGAGCAUAUUUCGGCCGAGGUGUUGGACCUGUAUUUGUUCAGGAAUUUAAUUGCUAUGGAUACGAGACGCAUCUUCGAAACUGUGGAUUUGAGUCCAACGUAUUUUGUUCUUCACAUUCAAGAGACGUUGGGAUAAUCUGUUCUGAAUGUGGACAAAUAAGCGUAAGUCAUGGAAAAAUCGUCUCAAUAUCAGGAGAUGGAACUAUUCUCACAAUAGCAUGUGAUACUGGAUAUGAAAUCGAUACAAACAAGAGUAUUUGUCAAAAUGGAAGUUGGUCACCUUCUUCGUUAGCAUGUACAACAAAUGGGUAUCCUUUAAACAUCUCCGGAAUUCGACUUGAAAAUGGUCUUGGCAUAUCUGAUGGAAUAGUGGAAAUUCUUGUGAAUGGUACUUGGGGUACUAUAUGUAGAAGUUACUUCUCGAGUAAUGAGGCAAAUGUCAUUUGCAACAUGCUUGGAUUUCUCGAUGUCUACACGUAUAGUCUAUACGGUUACUACGGUUUCGGCCAAGGCCCAGUACUCAUUGAUAAUCUUGUCUGCGAUGGAACGGAGUCUCAUAUCAAUCAGUGCACAUAUGAUGUUGUUCAGGCAUGCAGUUCUUAUCGUUAUUACCGUGCCGAAAUUAGUUGUAAACAUCCUUUAAACGUUACUGAUAUACGGUUGGUAGAGGGAACCGGACCAUACGACGGCCGUGUUGAAAUAUACAGUAACGGUCUCUGGGGAACUGCUUGUCGUCGCCAUGGCUACGGUUUUGAGGAAGUGGAGACGUUUUGUAGAAUGCUGAAUUCAAAUUUUACGUUAUAUUUCAACACUCCUGUGUAUGGUCAAGGAAAUGGUCCUAUACUUGUAGGACGUGUAGACUGUGACAAAGCCGAAAAUGAUAUCAGCGACUGCUCGUAUUAUCCUCCUUAUAAGACCUAUUGCAGUCAUUACUAUGAUUUGACCCUUGUUUGCACACCUUGUGGACAAAAAGACAUCGCAAAUGGAAACAUGGAAUCAGUGAAUGGGUCUGAUAUCAUAGUAAAAUGUGAUGUCGGAUACAAACCUGACAGUUAUAUAAUAACGUGCUUGAGUAAUGGAACAUGGCUUCAGGAGGAAAAUUGUUCAUUACCAUAUGAAUACCCACUUAAUAUCGAUAAUAUACGACUGGCUAAUAGCUAUAUACACUCAGAAGGACGUGUUGAAAUCAUGGUAAAUGGGACAUGGGGUACAAUAUGUGAUAACAACUUUGACAUCAAAAGUGCGAAUGUAACUUGCCAUAUGAUAGGACUGACGGUCCUACAUUAUUACACAAAUGCUUUCGAGUUUGGUCAAGGUAGUGGCCCUGUCUACAUAGAUAACUUAAACUGUACUGGAUUUGAAUCUCACAUUAACAACUGCACUUAUGACGUUGAUAACAAGUGUACACAUCGAGAUGACGUGUCCGUUAUAUGUACAGGAUACCAGCUGAACAUAACAAAUAUUCGCUUAGCCGGAACAUCGGGGCCUUACCACGGACGUGUUGAAUUAGAGGUCAAUGGUACUUGGGGAACAGUGGGAGAUGAUUAUUUUGGGACGUACGAGGCACGGGUAGUAUGUCGCAUGCUUGGGCUUGGAUAUAGGUCUAGGCUAAAUGGUGCAUAUUAUGGACAAGGUUCUGGACCUAUACUUGUUGAUCGGCUAGAUUGUCCAAGUUCUGCAACGCAUAUCAACCAAUGCAAAUAUUCAGUAGAUAAUUACUAUAACACCCAACAUAAUGAAGAUGUCUCCGUCAUUUGCUGGGGACCUCCAUUAAAUAUCACGGAAGCAAGACUUGCAAAUGGAACUGACCAAUAUGAUGGGCGUGCCGAAAUAAAAGUUAAUGGCACGUGGGGCACUAUUUGUGACAGUAACUUCGAUAUGUUUGGGGCAGACUUAUUUUGUAACAUGCUUGGUCUAAGAAUGUGGACAACCAGAUAUCUACUAUUGGGACACCGGUUACUUCAGCUAUAACGGCUCUAUCUUGUAUGCUGAUUGCUCCUACUAUAGAACUUACGUCGGUACACUUCAACUGACGUGUGACAACAGCACAAACUACGUGGAUAAAGGAAGGAGAAUGUGAAGAAUAUAGUUUUCCUUUAGAUAUAUCUGAAAUAAGGCUUGUUGACGGACCUAGGUCAACAAAUGGAAGAGUUGAAAUCAAGUCUUUAGAUACCUGGGGGACUAUAUGCGAUCAUUAUUUCGGAAUGGAAGAGGCAAACACUAUAUGUAGCAUGAUUGG